AUUUUUUCUUUUAUUUAAUUAUUUCUUGAAUUUGUUUAAUUAGUUAUUAUUAUUGUAAAAGAUUUUAUAUGUUUGUAGUAAAUUUUAUGUUAAUUGUACCUUUUGUAUCAGGGUUAAAUUUAAAUGUUUUAUUUAUUUAAUUUUCUCGAAAAGAGAAUAUUUAACUUUAUUUUUAUUUGAAGUUUAAAUUUCAGCUUACAGAUAAAGUUAGAUUUGAUAUGAAUAUAGAUUUUCUAUAUCUAGUUAUUUAGUAGUUUAAUUUAAUUAAAUAAUUUUGUUUAAUUUAUUAUUAUAAAAUUAAUGAGUUUUAGGGGAAAAGCUCUGAAAUUUUAUCUUAUAGGUUAAAGAUUUAUUUAAUAUGUAAAUUUAGAAGUGGUUUUCAUUUAGUAUUUAAAAAUAAAUUAAAUAUUAUUUUUAUUUUUAAAAUUUCUUAAUUUUGAUCUAAAUUAAUUUUAAUUAACUGGGGAUUAAUUAAAAUUAUGAUUAAAUUAGUAGAUGUAUAAAAUAUAAAUUAAGAAUUCAGCAAAAAAAAUAAUUUUCACCUGUUUAUCAAAAACAUGUCUGAGAGGAGUUGUAUAUUUUUGGUUUAAUCUGCUCAAUGCUUAGGUAAAUAGCUGCAGUAUUUUGACUGUACAAAGGUAGCAUAAUCAUUAGUUUUUUAAUUGAAAACUUGUAUGAACGAUUGGAUGAAAAAUUAACUUUUUUAUUUAUAUAAUGUUGAAUUUUCUUUUUAAGUAAAAAAUCUUAAUUAAAAAAGAGGGACGAGAAGACCCUAUAGAAUUUGAUAUAUAAAAUGAAUGUGUUAUAUUUAAUUGGGGUGAUUUUUUAUUAACAUUUAUUUUUACUUUCAUUUUUUUAUGGGUUUUUGAUCUUGAAUUUUAGAUAAAAAGGUAAAAUUACCUUAGGGAUAACAGCAUAAUUUUUGUUUAAAGAUCAAAUUUUAACAAAAGAUUAUGACCUCGAUGUUGAAUUAAAAAAUUAUUUAGGAGCAAAAAUUUAAGUAGUUAGUCUGUUCGACUUUAAAAUUUUACAUGAUUUGAGUUCAAACCGGCGUGAGCCAGGUUGGUUUCUAUCUUCUUUUAUUAUUUUUGUUUUAGUACGAAAGGAUUAGACAAUCAAAUUUUUAUAUUAAAAUAGAAUGAUAUUU
rnacentral:rRNA from 1 species